rnacentral:rRNA from 1 species
AUUGAACGCUGGCGGCAGGCCCAACACAUGCAAGUCGAACGGUAACAGGAAGAAGCUUGCUUCUUUGCUGACGAGUGGCGGACGGGUGAGUAAUGUCUGGGAAACUGCCUGAUGGAGGGGGAUAACUACUGGAAACGGUAGCUAAUACCGCAUAACGUCGCAAGACCAAAGAGGGGGACCUUCGGGCCUCUUGCAAUCGGAUGUGCCCAGAUGGGAUUAGCUAGUAGGUGGGGUAACGGCUCACCUAGGCGACGAUCCCUAGCUGGUCUGAGAGGAUGACCAGCCACACUGGAACUGAGACACGGUCCAGACUCCUACGGGAGGCAGCAGUGGGGAAUAUUGCACAAUGGGCGCAAGCCUGAUGCAGCCAUGCCGCGUGUAUGAAGAAGGCCUUCGGGUUGUAAAGUACUUUCAGCGGGGAGGAAGGGAGUAAAGUUAAUACCUUUGCUCAUUGACGUUACCCGCAGAAGAAGCACCGGCUAACUCCGUG